rnacentral:rRNA from 1 species
UACGUAGGGCGCAAGCGUUGUCCGGAAUUAUUGGGCGUAAAGAGCUCGUAGGCGGUCUGUUACGUCUGCUGUGAAAACCCGGGGCUUAACCCCGGGCUUGCAGUGGAUACGGGCAGACUAGAGGCAGGUAGGGGAGAAUGGAAUUCCCGGUGUAGCGGUGAAAUGCGCAGAUAUCGGGAGGAACACCGGUGGCGAAGGCGGUUCUCUGGGCCUUACCUGACGCUGAGGAGCGAAAGCGUGG